UGGCACCAUUGCUUCUUCUUUGCAUGC
rnacentral:piRNA from 1 species